rnacentral:rRNA from 1 species
GAUGAACGCUAGCUACAGGCUUAACACAUGCAAGUCGAGGGGAAACGGCAUCGAAAGCUUGCUUUUGAUGGGCGUCGACCGGCGCACGGGUGAGUAACGCGUAUCCAACCUGCCCAUCACUUGGGAAUAACCUUGCGAAAGUAAGACUAAUGCCCAAUGACAUCCCACGAAGGCAUCCUAAUGGGAUUAAAGAUUUAUCGGUGAUGGAUGGGGAUGCGUCUGAUUAGCUUGUUGGCGGGGUGACGGCCCACCAAGGCAACGAUCAGUAGGGGUUCUGAGAGGAAGGUCCCCCACAUUGGAACUGAGACACGGUCCAAACUCCUACGGGAGGCAGCAGUGAGGAAUAUUGGUCAAUGGGCGAGAGCCUGAACCAGCCAAGUAGCGUGCAGGAUGACGGCCCUAUGGGUUGUAAACUGCUUUUAUAAGGGAAUAAAGUGGGUCACGUGUGACUUUUUGCAUGUACCUUAUGAAUAAGGACCGGCUAAUUCCGUG